rnacentral:rRNA from 1 species
UACGAAGGGGGCUAGCGUUGUUCGGAAUUACUGGGCGUAAAGCGCGCGCAGGCGGUCUUCCAAGUCAGUGGUGAAAGCCCGGAGCCCAACUCCGGAACUGCCAUUGAAACUGUUGGACUUGAGUACGAGAGAGGUGAGUGGAAUUCCCAGUGUAGAGGUGAAAUUCGUAGAUAUUGGGAAGAACACCGGUGGCGAAGGCGGCUCACUGGCUCGUAACUGACGCUCAGGCGCGACAGCGUGGGGAUCAAACAGG